AGAGUUUGAUCCUGGCUCAGGACGAACGCUGGCGGCGUGCCUAACACAUGCAAGUCGUACGAGGACGGUCUUCGGACCGAGCCGAGUGGCGGACGGGUGAGUAACACGUGACCAAUCUGCCUUCGAGAGGGGGAUAACCUGGGGAAACUCGGGCUAAUACCGCAUGACGUGUCGUGCUCGCAUGGGCGUGACACCAAAGGGAGGCCUCUAUUUAUAAGCUUCCGCUUGAAGAGGAGGUCGCGACGUAUCAGCUAGUUGGUAGGGUAACGGCCUACCAAGGCUACGACGCGUAGCGGGUCUGAGAGGACGACCCGUCACAUUGGGACUGAGAUACGGCCCAGACUCCUACGGGAGGCAGCAGUGGGGAAUAUUGCGCAAUGGCCGAAAGGCUGACGCAGCGACGCCGCGUGUGGGAGGAAGCCCUUCGGGGUGUAAACCACUGUCGGGAGGGACGAACCGCGAACGGGCAAACAGCCCGGGCGCUUGACGGUACCUCCAAAGGAAGCACCGGCUAACUCCGUGCCAGCAGCCGCGGUAAGACGGAGGGUGCAAGCGUUGCUCGGAAUUACUGGGCGUAAAGCGCGGGCAGGUGGCCCUUUAAGUCCUUUGUGAAAUUCCGGAGCUCAACUCCGGAUGUGCAUAGGAUACUGGAAGGCUAGAGACUGGUAGAGGCGAGCGGAAUUCCUGGUGUAGCGGUGGAAUGCGUAGAUAUCAGGAAGAACACCGGUGGCGAAGGCGGCUCGCUGGGCCAGUUCUGACACUCAUCCGCGAAAGCGUGGGGAGCAAACAGGAUUAGAUACCCUAGUAGUCC
rnacentral:rRNA from 1 species